rnacentral:rRNA from 1 species
AUGAACGCUGGCGGCGUGCCUAAUACAUGCAAGUCGAGCGAACAGACGAGGAGCUUGCUCCUCUGACGUUAGCGGCGGACGGGUGAGUAACACGUGGAUAACCUACCUAUAAGACUGGGAUAACUUCGGGAAACCGGAGCUAAUACCGGAUAAUAUAUUGAACCGCAUGGUUCAAUAGUGAAAGACGGUUUUGCUGUCACUUAUAGAUGGAUCCGCGCCCCAUUAGCUAGUUGGUAAGGUAACGGCUUACCAAGGCAACGAUGCGUAGCCGACCUGAGAGGGUGAUCGGCCACACUGGAACUGAGACACGGUCCAGACUCCUACGGGAGGCAGCAGUAGGGAAUCUUCCGCAAUGGGCGAAAGCCUGACGGAGCAACGCCGCGUGAGUGAUGAAGGUCUUCGGAUCGUAAAACUCUGUUAUUAGGGAAGAACAAAUGUGUAAGUAACUAUGCACGUCUUGACGGUACCUAAUCAGAAAGCCACGGCUAACUACGUG